rnacentral:SRP_RNA from 1 species
CCGGGAGAGCGCCCAGGGGGCGUCCCGGUCCCCCUCGCCGCAGAAGAAGUCCGCGCGCGGAGCGGGGGGGAACCACAUGCGAGGGCACCGGGGGGGGAGCAAUCCAGCGUCGUUGA